UGAUAGCUCAGUCGGUAGAGCAAAUGACUGUUAAUCAUUGGGUCCCAGGUUCGAGUCCUGGU
rnacentral:tRNA from 1 species